UCGAGAAUAAUUCACAAUGGGGGAAACCCUGAUGGUGCAACGCCGCGUGGAGGAUGAAGGUCUUCGGAUUGUAAACUCCUGUCAUCCGGGAGUAAGACCUGGCGGUAAAUAGCCGACAGGGUUGAUAGUACCGGAAGAGGAAGGGACGGCUAACUUCGUGCCAGCAGCCGCGGUAAUACGAAGGUCCCAAGCGUUGUUCGGAAUCACUGGGCGUAAAGGGUGCGUAGGCGGUUUGGUAAGUCAGAUGUG
rnacentral:rRNA from 1 species